CAAGAAGGUAGUUUUAACAAUAAGUAGCAUAUAUCGGAAGCACACGCGGAACAACAAAACGUACAUGUGCCUUUUCGAGACAAUACGAUGCAAGGAACAAAUCUCUCACAAAUGUAUUCAGAUUUGGAAUAAAAUGAAAGCAAGAGUAUACAAGGAUUCCAAGCAAUCAUAUUUAGCUCAAUUCAAAUAAGAAGGUGAGAUGAAUUCAAU
rnacentral:lncRNA from 1 species